CUAUACUAUACUAAAAGGAAAAUAAGAAGCCUUUUUAGCUACGCCACAUCAGAUCAGAAAAUCAACCAAUGAGGUUGGAGCAAUGGGACAUGUCAUCUGUUUAUGAUAUUGAUUUGGGCUUCGUAUUUGAUUUUGGACUUUUUAUUUUACCUUUCUUUAUUUUGUUUAGGGCUUCUUCUCUUGCCUUUGUCGACUGAUUCUAUCUUCUAUUUUGGAUGAUCAUGCCUUUCUUCUCUUACCUUUCGACUUCCGUACCUUCCCUUGCUCUUCUCUUCAAAUCCAUUUUAACGCAUAUUUUCACCACUAACUUCUCUAAUCAAACCUUGCGUGAUCUCAUUCAAUGGAUUCUUUUCAUCUUCCUCUCUAUUUGUCUAUUUACAAAUCUCAUUCUCUUGACUUAUGUGUGGAUUAAAAUUGAAAAGCUUCUCUCAGACAAUCAUCCCAACCUAAAGGAAACUCUUCAAUCUCCAGCGACCGCAAGACCAAUGAGAAGACCGUCGCCUCCUCCGAGACUGCGAGACCAAACGGGAAGUCCACCGCUUCCUCCGCCAUUGUGAUGAAACCAAACGCUCCUACCGCUCUGUCCAAAUCCGAAUCGGACCAUCGAUUGCAUAGAGUUUUAGAUAUGCUGGAGCGUUGCCGUGGCUGUGUAACUUAAGUUGUAGCUCUGAAUCGGCCUAAAAAAAAGAAACAGAGGAAGAGUAACAGCAACAGGGGUUCUGGCGGAGUAACAGAAGUAGCCGUGGAGAGGCGGAGUGGAGACCAGGACGAGAUUAGCGGCGAGAAAUUUGAAAGAUGAUCAUUUACGCAUAUUUUUGGUUUAAUAUUUUUGGUUUAUGCUCAUUAAGGUGAUGAUUAAUGAUAUGUCUCUUAUCAGGUCCAAGUUGGAGGAUCACCGUUGUAUAAGGUAAAGAGAAAUCGGGGGGGAAGGUGGUCUUGGACAAGUGUUUGUUGGAUCACCGUUGUAUAAGGUUCGACAUGAUACUGUCAGUCCAGAAAUAUUUGAAACAGAAAGGUAAGCAAGUGCACUCAGGCAAGGGAUCCAAAUGUAAAUCAUCCUUGCUGGGAGAGACCAGAGACCAUGAAUGAAAAGAGACCCAUUAAAAUUGUGCAGACACUCCAGGGACUGAGGUUGCUGUGGAGACUGCUGCAGCCAUGGCUUCAAAAAUAUGCAAAGCAGCUGUUCAAUUUUGCAGACACGUACAUUGUACUGGAAGCUCAUAAGUCUUACAAUUCAACAUGGUACGGGAACGAGCCACUAUGGGCAGCUUCGAAAUCACAGAAACUGAAGAUCAGUAUUAUUCUCACUGGAGGUCAAGCACCUGGUGGGCACACUGUCAUAUAUGGACCAUUUGGUAAGUGUUUAAAAGACAUUUUUGUAUGUCUCAAAAUGAUGCUUUAUGUAUUGUUGUAUCUUAUUUGGUCUACUAUUGAUUUGUAAUUUUCUUUUCGGUUUCGGAUCACUUGCAGGAGCGUGAUAAAGAAAGUACAUUUUACGGAUUUAAGGAUGGUCCAGUUGGGAUCAGGAAAUGCAAAUAGGUUGUCUUAAAUGCAGAAUACAUUCAGCGUUAAAGGAACCAUGUAUCUGGACUGUAUUAAUAUAUGAGAUCUUUGCCAAAAACUUUGUGAAAGAUUGAGAUUCUACAAUUUUUCAUCAUCAUUUAGAACUGUUUGAUGUAGACAUUCCGGUACUCAAGCAUGUGUAUAGAGCUGCAACUUAACUUUCUUAGCUCUAGCUACAAAAUGACCUGAAUUUGACACGCUGGCUCUGUAUGUUUCAUGAAUUCUCUUUUAAUGACCAUGAAUGAACUUUAUAUAUACAUAACCUUAUUUUUGCAGAAA